GAUGAACGCUGGCGGCGUGCCUAAUACAUGCAAGUCGAGCGAACAGACGAGGAGCUUGCUCCUCUGACGUUAGCGGCGGACGGGUGAGUAACACGUGGAUAACCUACCUAUAAGACUGGGAUAACUUCGGGAAACCGGAGCUAAUACCGGAUAAUAUAUUGAACCGCAUGGUUCAAUAGUGAAAGACGGUUUUGCUGUCACUUAUAGAUGGAUCCGCGCCGCAUUAGCUAGUUGGUAAGGUAACGGCUUACCAAGGCAACGAUGCGUAGCCGACCUGAGAGGGUGAUCGGCCCCACUGGAACUGAGACACGGUCCAGACUCCUACGGGAGGCAGCAGUAGGGAAUCUUCCGCAAUGGGCGGAAGCCUUACGGAGCAACGCCGCGUGGGUGAUGAAGGUCUUCGGAUCGUAAAACUCUUUUAUUAGGGAAAAACAAAUGUGUAAGUAACUAUGCACGUCUUGACGGUACCUAAUCAGAAAGCCACGGCUAACUUCGUG
rnacentral:rRNA from 1 species